rnacentral:rRNA from 1 species
CCCUUAGAUGUUCUGGGCCGCACGCGCGCUACACUGAUACGUUCAACGAGUUUAUAACCUUGAUUGAUAGGUCUGGGUAAUCUUUUGAAUGCGUAUCGUGCUAGGGAUAGAUUAUUGCAAUUAUUAAUCUUGAACGAGGAAUUCCUAGUAAACGCAAGUCAUCAGCUUGCAUUGAUUACGUCCCUGCCCUUUGUACACACCGCCCGUCGCACCUACCGAUUGGAUGGUCCGGUGAAGCCUCGGGAUUGUGGUUCUUGCCGCUUUAUUGUGGCGUGACCGCGAGAACUUGUCUAAACCUUAUCAUCUAGAGGAAGGUGAAGUCGUAACA